AACGUUUCAACCGUUUUCCUUUUUGAUCGCUGAUUAGUCGGGAUUGGAUCUCGUAUACGCGUGUUCGAACACUAUAAAAACCCAACCUUCGUCCCUGUUCUACUCGACAUCACACACCCUAUUACACUCUCAAACUUUCUCUGUUGAUAACAACAUCGCCAGAAACAAGAAGUCGCCGGAGAUCGGAAACCAUUUCGGGUUCAUGAAAAAUUAGAUUUCGAACUGAAAGAUGAGAAAAUAAACUAAGGGCAGUAGAGUCGUUCAUUUUGAAAGGAACCUGUGGAAAGUUCGCCGAAGUUCGAAGUGCUCGUCGGAGUCCCGCCGGAGUGCCCGAAACUCGCCGGAACAACCUCCGUUCACGCCAUUCUCGUUUCGGUUAAUCACUCUCGUUCGUCCUUUGGAAAUCUCAACUCUUUACUCGUGCGUAUUUACCAAGAAACGCAACGCAAUCCAAGGAUGAGGAUUCAAGAGUUGAAGAAUUGAUUAGGAUGGCUUAGAAACCCACAUUACAAUAAACUAUGUUUGGUGUUUGUUAUUUCCCUUUUAUGACAUUUUGUAUGAAACUUAGCAAUUUUAAUAAAUGAAAUUUAAUUAUAUUGUCA